UAAGGUAGUAAGAUUCCAUGUAGACGACAUGGUGAUAGGUUGGAGGUGUAAGUGCAGUAAUGCAUUAAGCUGACCAAUACUAAUAAAUCGAGGGCUUAACCACAA
rnacentral:rRNA from 1 species